GGCCUGGCAGCGCAUUCAGUUGGUGUUCCGGUUUCGGGUUGUGCUGUUAGUUGCCUUUUCCUGCACAGCCAAAGCAGAGCUAAGCGGAGACGCGUCGCGGUCGUGCCUGUGUCUUUGUCUGUGUUUGUGACUUGGACUGUGACUGUGUAUGGAAGCGCGUGCGUGCGUGUGUGUAUGUGUGUGUUUGUUGUCUGUCGUCGCUUAGCACUGCGCGCGCGUUUUGUCAGUGUAUGUGUGCUUGUUUGUAUGUGUGUGCGCGUGUGCCCGUGAUUCUCUGUGCUUCUCUGUGCAUAUGUGUGUGUGUGCGUGUGCGUGUUAAAACAGUGUGACCAUAUAUAUAUAUAUAUACAUAUAUAUAUAUAUAUAUAUUAAUGUAUGUGCGUGCCUGCGUUUAUUGUGCACCAAUAUACAUACACUAAUACAUAAGUCCACAUACAUGGCAACUUUUAAGCGCCCAGCAGGAUGCUCAAGCAGCAGCAGCAGCAGCUAAGAAACAAAAAAUGAGAAGAAAACAAUACUAGCAGCAAAAAAUGCAACAACAGCACACAAUGGAUGUUAGAACUAAUUGAAAAGAACACCAUAAAAUAAAUCAGCGCAAAUAGAAAAUACUGUUUUAAUAGUUAUGUCAAGCAAUAUUUUAAUGUUUGAGUGAGAAGCACAGAAACAAAUAAUAAUACCAAAAAGUGUUUGUGCUUGUGGAAAAUAAGAAAAUUAAGAGAGAACCAAUCCCAAAAAACCAUGAAUUGGAAAAGUGCGUGAAAAGCAAAAACAACUGAAAACCAAACGAAAUUCAAUCUCUUAUUGAAGCAAUUGCAAAAGGUUUAAAAAUAAAAAACAGCACAAACUAUAAACAUAAAUUACAAAAAAUGUUUAAGGCAACCAAAAGAAAAUUUUGAAAUUUAUUGUAAAUAUUGAGAAGCUAUAAAAGUUCUUUACAUCUUCAACUUAUACAAACAAAUACCAAAAGUAAAUUACAACAAAAAAAAAA